CCUUGUUAAUAGUCAGCUUUCAUUACAACCUUUUUUUUUUUUUUGAAUCUCGAAGCAAAGAUGGUCUCUAACAAUCAACUCUUUCACCUCUUUUUGUUUCUUUGUUUUUCCCAGAUUACUUGUUUGCAUGCCCAACUGUGCACUCAAGAACAGAGCUCUGCCUUGCUCCAAUUUAAGCAACAAUUUUCCUUCAAUAAAUCUGCUUCCGACUGUGAUCAUUCUUACCCGAAGAUGGAGUCGUGGAAGGAGGGUUCUGAUUGUUGCUCAUGGGAUGGGGUCGAGUGUGACAACAACACAAGUCAAGUAAUUGGCCUCGACCUCAGUUGCAGCUGGCUCCUAGGCACCAUCCACCCCAAUAGCACCAUCUUCUACUACUUUCCUCACCUCCAAAGCCUCAACCUUGCUUUCAAUCACUUUGGUAUGUCUCGAAUCUCAUCUGAAUUUAGUCGAUUCACCAGACUGACACACCUCAACCUCUCUGGCUCUGUUUUUUCUGGCAAAGUCCCUAUAGAAGUCUCCUUUCUGAGCAAAUUGGUCUCGCUUGAUCUCUCUUACAAUUAUGGUUUGAGGUUGGAAGAACCGGGUUUUGAAUUACUUGUUCAAAACUUAACCAAGGUAAGAGAACUUAAUCUUGGAGAAGUAAACAUAUCUUCAGUGGUUUCGAUUUCCUUGCUCAAUCUGACUUCUUUAACACGUCUCGAUCUUAGUUCGUGUGGAUUGCUUGGAAAAUUUCCUGACGGAAUAUUCCUUUUACCACAUCUGAAUGAGCUGCUUAUAUCGUAUAAUCUUGCUCUCACUGGUUAUUUUCCCGAGUUUAUGAACUCGAGCAGUCCUCUCCAGUACUUGCGGCUUUUAGACACUAAUUUCUCUGGAGAACUACCUGACUCAAUUGGGAAUUUGAAGUCCUUGAAAACGUUGUAUGCCGUUGGUUGUAAAUUUUAUGGAUCCAUCCCGACGUCGCUUGGAAACCUUACGGAAAUGACUCGUUUAGCCAUCUCAUAUAACAAUUUCACUGGCAUGCUCCCAUCUUCACUUUCAAACCUUGGAAAUCUCGUCAAAUUGGGAGUUCAGUAUAAUAAUUUUGAAGGUAAAAUCGCAGAUUUUUUACCUAAUGCAAAAAGUCUUAUGUAUUUAUAUGUUGGUUCAAAUAGCUUCAGCGGUCCAUUCCCAUCAUUGGUUGCAAACCUAACAUCACUUGUUGAGUUAGAUUUGUCGAAUAAUCAGCUAACAGGACCUCUUCCAUCUUGGGUCUUUAGCUUACCAGCAUUGCAUUACUUCAACCUCAGUAAUAACAAAUUGACUGGCCAUGUAAAAGAGUUCAAAUCCACUGAUUUAAUUGCUAUUGAUUUGAGCAAUAACAGCCUAUAUGGUAGGUUUCCAAGUUCAACCUUCAAACUUGUGAACCUUACUAGUCUCAUUCUUUCAUCAAAUAACUUCACUGGUGAGCUAGACAUGCUCUGUCAUGCAGUUUCCCUUCGAUUACUUGUCCUGUCUAGUAAUAGCUUUAAUGGUUCUAUUCCACAAUGUUUAGGAAACUUCAGCACAUAUUUCUCUGUGCUCGAUCUGGGGAAGAAUAAUUUUUCUGGCACCAUUCCUAAUACAUUUGUAAAGGGAAAUUCCUUCGAAAUUAUCAACCUUAAUGGAAAUGGAUUUGAGGGUACAGUACCAAAAUCUUUAGUCAAUUGCAAAAUGCUACGAGUGGUAGAUCUUGGAUGUAACAAGUUCUCUGACAAAUUUCCAUUUUGGUUGGAAAAACUACGUUGGUUGCAAGUUCUAAUUUUGAGUUCUAACAAAUUCCAUGGACCUAUGCCAGCUUCCAAAGCCAAAUUUCCCUUCCUUAACUUGAGAGUUAUGGAUUUGUCAGACAAUUAUUUUACUGGUCCACUGCCAAAAACAUAUUUCAAGAAUUUCAAUGCAAUGAUGAAUGUCAUAGAAGCCAAUUUUAAAUUGCAAUACAUAGAGAAGUCCGUUGUUGGUUCUAUGUAUCUGUAUGCAUAUCAUUAUCAUGAUUGUUUGACUAUGGUAAUCAAAGGAUCAACCAUAGAAAUGGCAAAAGUCCUAACCAUUUUCACUGUAAUUGAUUUGUCAAAAAACAAUUUCGAAGGUCAGAUUCCACAGAUCAUUGGAAAGUUAAAUUCAAUCCGAGGGCUCAACUUAUCUCACAAUAGCCUUACAGGUCAUAUACCAACAUCUCUUGCUAAUUUGGCAAUGCUCGAAUGGUUAGACCUCUCUUCCAACAAACUCACUGGAGAGAUCCCUCGACAAUUAAAUAAUUUGAAAUCCCUUGCAGUCUUCAACCUUUCGCAAAAUCAACUAAUAGGACCGAUACCACAAGGCAACCAAUUUGAUACAUUUUUAGAUGAUUCCUAUAUUGGUAACUUGGCAUUAUGUGGACCUCCAUUGUCAAAUACAUGCAGCGACCCUAGGCCACCACAACAAGAAGAUGAUACGUAUUCUUCAAGUGGAUUCAAUUGGUAUGUCAUAUUGCCGGGUUAUGGAUGUGGGCUGGUAUGGGGACUUGUUAUGGGAUAUGUUAUGUUCUCUAAAGGAAAACCUCAAUGGCUUGUGAGGAUUAUUGAAGGUGAACGAAACGAAAGCAGAAAGAGAUUUAAAAAGCAUGCUCACAGAAACAGAGGAAGGUGAAAUUAGCCAAUGCAAGUGGUGUCCUUUGUGGCUUGCAGUUGUGGAACUUGGACUUUUAAAAGGCCGCCAUCCUCUUUUGAAAGAUGUCAAUGUUACCCUCAAUCCUUCAAAAGGUUUAGCAUGGGUGGAAGCCACAUCAUCUGAUAAAAGUGGUAGACUAAACAAACUCCUGAAUCUUUCCCAGUCAAAUGUUUUAAAUGGGUUUUCUUCAUAUCCUUUAGAGGAGAGGCUUGGAGAAAGUGAUAUCUCAGCUAGCAUCAGUUCAAGAUUCAGACGUGAUUCUUGUGAAUCCUGAAAUUGAAGAUAGCGGAUUGCAACAAAAGAGCAAUGGUACAUUAGAGCAGGCUUACUCUGUUGAUGCAGUAUUAGUCAAAGACGAAGGCAAUCCUAUAGAUCAUGAAAGAGGCCAAACUGCACAAGUGGCUAUGAAUAUGCUUGAUGUGACCAUGACUGGUACUCUGACUGAAGAACAGAAGCAGAAGAAACUUCUAGAAGUUCCUGCCAAAGAUGUCUUUGAUUGCAUCAGAUUUCAGUUUCCUUCCUGAUGUGAAAGUACCAGGUGAAAGAGCUGCAUUGGUUUCAACCAAGAAAAAUGGCAACAGUUCAUAUUACAGCAGUUAUUUAAAUGCAAAGGGUGAUGCUGAUAUCUUUUUCCCAACAGACUUUUGGCUUUUGGAACGUAUUGAUCAUUACUGCUAGGUUGUAGAGAUGCUUGUCAAUAUGGGCAUUCCUUGGGUCAUUCUGAGAGGAGGGCUCUUGUUAAAUGAAUCAAAUGAGUUUGUUGGAGAUAAGGUUGCAUAUGCUCUUUCUCAAGGUUUGAAGGUAAUUGCUUGUAUUGGAGAGACUCUUGAGCAGCGAGAAUCAGGAUCUACCAAGGAUGUUGUUGCUGCGCAAACUAAGGCAAUUUCAGUAGACUGGCCUUCCAUCAGCAGCUUCAGCAGCAGCUGCUGCUAGAUCAUUAUCAGACUUCACCUCCACUGGCAAUCUUAGCAGCUCAUCUUUUCUAUAUAUUUACAUAGACAUAGCAAUGGCAAAAUAAAAGUAACAUCAGUAAAAAUUGCCAACAUCUUUUCUAUAUAUUUACAUAGACAUAGCAAUGGCAAAAUAAAAGUAACAUCAGUAAAAAUUGCCAAAUUAGAUUGGGAUUUUGAGAUGGACAACCUUUCAAUGUUGCUUGAGCCUUGUUACCUGUACCAGUUUGGCUAUUUCUGAUCUGUUGAGAGAGUUCAACUGAAUUUUGAGAUGGACAACCUUUCAAUGUUGCUUGAGCCUUCUUGUUAAAGCCCAUCGGGAAUCAUGAUUUCUGCUAAACCCCAAAUCCUCUUGAUGUUAAGACUUUUAUGAGACACAAUUCUCCAAAUAGUAGGUUUAUUCAAUAUCGCCACUAAUUACAAGUGCAAACCCUAUGAAUAAUAAUACAGUGCAGAGAUAGGAAGGGGGUAAUACCAGGAAGGAGGUGAAGACAGCAAAGAAGGCCCCAAAUCCAAGAAUAACAGAGUACCCAACACCUUGAUUUAAAACUGCUUUCCCUCCAAAGAAACUGCUGUCUCACACAACUGUCCCCCGUGCUUCAGUAAUACUUGGUGGUGAACUCAAACGGCGGGCAAUUUGGCAGAGAAGAAGCCAUGAAGCCACUGCUCUUCUCCAACUUCAACUGUUAGAGUCUGGCACUCUGUUUGUGUGGGAAUUUGUAUACACAUAGAGGAACUGAAUUGCUUUAUUUCCAGAAUGCUGCUCUGGCGUUGGAUUCUUCAUCCCUGGACAUUGAUCAAGUAGAAAAUCUCAUUAAAUUUUGUCCUACAAAAGAAGAAAUGACAAUGCUGAAGGAUCUACCAUAGGAUUCAAAUUGAUGUCCUUCUUUGCAAGGAACAAUAAAAUGACAUUGAUGCAUUACUGUCCCAAGUAUGUCAAUUGCUUUCCUGUCUUCAUUAGCUCAUUGCCGAGAAGAUGCCAGAGUUGCUGGGUUUUGAUAAGGAUCUCGUUCAUUUGGAAGCAGCCCCUAAGGUUUGCAUUUUUCUUAAUGUAAUAUGUGAAUGGGGUGUCUGUAGUUCAUUUGUACAAUUUAUUGCUUGUUCCAUCUGCAUAUCAAAUGGCCAGAUCCAAUUGAAGUCUUUAGCUGAAGAAAUGCAAGCUGUGAGUAAAGGUCUUGAAAAGGUUGAGCAUGAACUCACUGCUUCAGAGAAUGAUGGUGCCAUCUCUGCAGGCUUCCAAAAAGUAGGGGACAUAGGUUACUCUUUUUUUUUUUUAAUUUUUUUUUUAUUUAUCUUUUAUUAUAGAUGUACAUAAUUCUAGUUUCACGACAAAACUGGUGUAUGUUUGUUGACAGUGAUGUUGAGAUACAAAAUAAAGGGAAUUUGCCAA